AAAUUGCAGAUUUUGAGGUAAAAAUUUCAGAUUUUGGUGUCUGGGGGCAGAUUUUGGGGUGUGGGAAGAAUUUCUGAGGUAAAAAUUGCAGAUUUUGAGGUAAAAAAAUGCAGAUUUGGGGGCGAAAAGGCAGAUUUUGGGGUUUGGGAGGAAUGUCUGAGGUAAAAAGUUGCAGAUUUUGAGGUAAAAAUUGCAGGUCUUGGGCCUAAAAGGCAGAUUUUGGGGUGAAAAAGGCAGAUUUUGGGGUGAAGAGAAAAUUUCUGAGGUAAAAAUUGCAGAUUUGGGGGCAAAAAUGUCAAUUUUGGGGUGAAAAAUGGCAGAUUUGGGGGUAAAAAUGUCAAUUUUGGGGUGAAAAGUGGCAGUUUUGGGGUGAAAACGGUCCGAUUUGGGGGUAAAAAUUGCAGAUUUGGGGUGAAAAGGGUCAGAUUUGGGGGUAAAAAUUGCAGAUUUGGGGUGAAAAGUGGCAGAUUUGGGGGUAAAAAUGUCA